rnacentral:rRNA from 1 species
GAUGAACGCUAGCGGCAGGCCUAACGCAUGCAAGUCGAGGGGCAGCACAUAAAGUGGUUUACUACUUUUGGUGGCGACCGGCGGACGGGUGCGUAACGCGUAUGCAACCUGCCUCCAACAGGGGGAUAACGGAGAGAAAUUUCCACUAAUACCCCAUAAUAUCAGAAUCGGCAUCGGUUUUGGUUGAAAACUCCGGUGGUUGGAGAUGGGCAUGCGUUGUAUUAGAUAGUUGGUGAGGUAACGGCUCACCAAGUCAACGAUACAUAGGGGGACUGAGAGGUUAGCCCCCCACACUGGUACUGAGACACGGACCAGACUCCUACGGGAGGCAGCAGUGAGGAAUAUUGGUCAACGGGGGCAACCCUGAACCAGCCAUGCCGCGUGCAGGAAGACGGCUCUAUGAGUUGUAAACUGCUUUUACAAGGGGAUAAAUCGGUGUACGUGUACACCGUUGAAGGUACCUUGGGAAUAAGGAUCGGCUAACUCCGUGCCAGCCGCCGCGGUAA